AUAGACUUUGUGACUAAAAUAUCAGAUAGGAUUCACGAUGAGUCACUAACCAUUUCUUUUACUACUGAAAAAACGGAUCCUCUUUCAGAAGUUCGUGAAACACACAGUAGCAAAGCAUUACUAAAAGACUGGGUUAGUUUCGUACAGUUCCUUAUGAACAAAGUGAAUUACAAAUAUAUUUCUAUAAAGUUCAAUUUUUAUAUGUUGUUUUUUUAAAAAAUUCUAAUAUUUUCAAAUAUAUCCCUCUGGUUUAUUAUCGUUAAACUACUGUUUAUUUUAUAAGUGAAAUAAUUUUUUUACCAUCACAAAUAUGUCCCUCUAAAAAUUCCAACUGUUGAUUAAAAAGGAGUAAAAGGUCAAUUCACCUCAUUGACUAACUAGGAUUAAGUAUUUUACAUAUAGUUAACUAAUUUUUUUUAACGGAUCUUAACGGUAGGAAUAUAUUUGAAGACAUUAGGACUUUUGCAGAGACCUGUAUAAAAUUAACCUCUAAUAAAAGAAUCAGCGAUUAAGUGCCUGCUUGUUUUGCAGACAGUGAUGUUUAGAUUGAAAUAGAUUUUUAGUCGAACUAGAGUUUAAAUGAAAUUUUUUUCUUUUCUAUUAUUUAUUUCCAUUUGUGAGACCCCUGGUGUUUGACUGUGGAGGCUUGUCGACAGCUCUGGAGAGUGUCGGGACAAGUC
rnacentral:lncRNA from 1 species